GUUAUCUUUUUCUCUCUCUCACGUCUCUGUUUUCCUUCCCCCUCUUUCUCUUCUUCUUCAUUCACUCUCUUCUCCCUCUUUCUCUUCUUCCUCGAAACGAAAGGCUACAGUGGUGCGAACAGGGGAGAAGAUGACGAAAGGCUAAUCUGGCGACAAUGUCGGAUUCGUAACGAACAUGUGGUGGUUGGCCACUGUUUAUGCAAUUUGAAGGUUUUCUAGAUCCAACACUUUCGUGGCUUAGGGUUUCCAGAUCCAACACUUUCAUGACUUAGGGUUUGCGGAUCCAACGCUUUCUGUUUCUUCUGUAUAGGAUGCAAUAAGUGGUGGUGGUGGUUGCGUGCCUUCUCAUGUCGACAUAUUUUUUUAGGUGAAAGGACAUUGUUGUUAUUUUCUUAUUCCAAUGAUUAUCGAGCAAUACAUGUGUCUCUGGUGAAGGUGUACUUAAAGGCGCUUCUAGAAGAUUUGGCUGAGAAAUUUGCCAGGGAGAAAGUUCAAGUAAGCAUUAUUAAAAU